CCCCUGGUGCGCAGGUGGACUGGAAAAGAGGAAGGCAAACGCAGUGGCUAGGCGGAGACCUCCCAAAUCCCACGUCUCCCCGAGAAUCACAGACGGGCUACAGACCUAGGGCAGCCAUAAGAAAAAACGUCAGCUACAUCUCGAGGGAGUGGGGUGGAGUGCGGGCGCUUGCUCUAGUCGAGCCCUGAUAUCGAUUCUGCGGGGGCGGGGAGGAGUCGGCGCGGGGCUGGGGCUGGGAGGGGAGUUUAUUUAUUAGCCAGAUUAGCCAGCAUUAAUGGGGGAGCGGUGGCGGCCGGCGGCAGCAGGGACAUAGCUGGCAUAGCUGGCAUAGCGGCGGGGCCUCCCGCGGCGCGGGGCUCCGCGGCUUCAAAGGGGCUUAAAGAGGCCCUUGGUGGCACUGCCACGGCCCCGCGGGGGAGGGCGUGGGCGCGGGCGGCGGGGGAGAAGGCGGCCAUUGUGCACCGAGGGAUUAGGGCUCUGGCCUGGAAGGAAUUUUAAACUGCCGCGAGCCGGAGCCCCAGGACUCUCCUCCUGCCCCACCCCUGCCCUCCGGAGCACGCUGAGAAACGCUCUGUCUUCCUGCUUUGGGGACAGCUGAAGUCUCGCCACUUCUUCCGGAUGCUCUGACCAUCAGUAAGAGACACAGUCUGACUUUGUUACCCCGGCUGGAGUGCAGUGGUGCAAUCACGGCUCACUGCAGCCUUAACCUCCUGGGCUCGAGUGAUCCUCUCGCCAAGGCUAGGAUAAGUAGCUAGGACUACAGAUGCGCCCCAUCACGCCCAGCUAAUUUCACAACUUUCGUAGAGAUGCAGUGUUGCCAUGUUGCCCAGGCUGGUCUUGAAUUCCUGGGCUCAAGCGAUCCUCCUGUGUCUGGAAUUGGUGGAUUCUUGGUCUCACUGACUUCAAGAAUGAAGCCGCGGACCCUUGCGGUGAGUGUUAACAGUUCUUAAAGGCAGCGUGUCCAGAGUUUGUUCCUUCUGACGUUCGGAUGUGUUCAGAGUUUCUUCCUUCUGGUGGGUUCGUGGUCUCGCUGGCUUAGGAGUGAAGCUGCAGACCUUCGCGGUGUGUGUUACAGCUUUUAAGGCGGCGCGUCUGGAGUUGUUUGUUCCUCCCAGUGGGCUCAUAGUCUCGCUGGCUUCAGGAGUGAAGCUGCAGACCUUCGCGGUGAGUGUUACAGCUCAUAAAGGCAGUGUGCACCCAAAGAGUGAGCAGUAGCAAGAUUUAUUGCAAAGAGCAAAAGAACAAAACUUCCACAGUGUGGAAGGGGACCCCAGCGGGUUGCCACUGCUGGCUGGGGCAGCCUGCUUUUAGUCUCUUAUCUGGCCCCACCCACAUCCUGCUGAUUGGUAGAGCCCAGUGGUCUGUUUUGACAGGGUGCUGAUUGGUGCAUUUACAAUCCAAGCUAGACACAAAGGUUCUCCAUGUCCCCACCAGAGUAGCUAGAUAUAGAGUGUCGAUUGGUGCAUUCACAGUGCUGAUUGGUGUGUUUACAAACCUUGAGCUAGAUACAGAGUGCCGAUUGGUGUAUUUACAAUCCCUGAGCUAGACAUAAAGGUUCUCCACGUCCCCACCAGACUCAGGAGCCCAGCUGGCUACACCCAGUGGAUCCUGCACCGGGGCUGCAGGUGGAGCUGCCUGCCAGUCCCAUGCAGUGUGCCCGCACUCCUCAGCCCUUGGGUGGUCGAUGGGACUGGGCGCCCUGGAGCAGGGGGCGGAGCUCGUCGGGGAGGCUCCGGCGGCACAGGAGCCCACGGAGCGGGGGGGAGUCUCAGGCGUGGCAGGCUGCAGGUCCCGAGCCCUGCCCCGUGGGAAGGCAGCUAAGGCCCUGGGAGAAAUUGAGCACAGCAGCUGCUGGCUCAGGUGCUAAGCCCCUCACUGCCCAGGGCCGGUGGGGCCCCGCGGGCUGCUCCGAGUGCAGGGUCUGCCGAGCCCACGCCCACCCGGAACUCGCGCUGGCCGGCAAGCACCGCGCGCAGCCCUGGUUCCCGCCCACGCCUCUCCCUCCACACCUCCUCGCAAGCUGAGGGAGCCGGCUCCGGCCUUGGCCAGCGCAGAAAGGGGCUUCCACAGUGCAGCGGCGGGCUGAAGGGCUCCUCAAGUGCGGCCAAAGUGGGAGCCCAGGCAGAGGAGGCGCCGAGAGUGAGCGAGGGCUGUGAGGACUGCCAGCACCUUGUCACCUCUCACUCCCCCAAAAUACUGGGCUUAUAGGCAAAAGCCACCACACCUGGCCUGAUUGUGAAAUUUAAAUGAGAUAACCCGGCUCAGAGCAGGCCCUGAGCUGACAUUACUAUGAGGAGACCUUCCCAAUAUCCUGUCACUUGAUGGUGGGCUUGCCUAAGAGAGCUGCCCUAGGGAGAUAAGAAGCCCUCAUUCUGGACCUUACCUGACUGCUACAUGCUCCCCCCGUGUUUCUUUGAUUUCUGGGGUCCAGCCCCAGCCAAGGUGCAAGAUACAAGUUGAGAGGCAUGGCAGGGCAUAGGGAUGGGUGAUUGCGUGCUACUUUGGACUAGGCUGGGGGUGGGGCUAGGGAAGGACUGGCUACCUGACCCGCCCCUACCUGGCUGACACAACAGGUAACUGAGUGCUGACUUUUAUUCCUGGGAAGGGAGGAGUCAGGCAGUGCCUCUCUGUCCAGGCAAAUGGGAUGCAAGGGUCAGGAGCAUGGGUGGAGGGGGCUUCUAGGAAUAUUCCUGAAAGAAGACCUGGGAACAGGCACUGCUGUCAGGAGCUACUGCCUGGGCCUACCAGCCUGUACCCCAGCUCAACAAACAUCCUUGUCCUUAUUUCUCAGAGUCUGUAUCCACCAGCUACUCUCCCAGAUUGAUGAGGCAAGGCCUGCCUGCUCACCUGGCUGGCCCCAAGCACCUCUUCAACCUGUUGCCACCGUCUUGCCUUGCUACCCUUCUCAGCUCAUCCAGCAGGGUCUCCAAGUCAUGGAAACAGAAGCACAUAUACACACAUGCUCAUAUGUACAUGCCCACAGCCACAUAAGCACACCGAGAAACACCAUCGCACAAGCACAUGUGAUGCGUUCUCACAAGCACAUGCGUUCUCACAAGCACAUGCGCAUAACACACUCACUACCCCUCAAGCGUAUACACAUUAAUACACUCAUGCACACUCAGUCUUACACACACAGACACACAGCCAUAAUCACUGUUGUUGGUUGAAUUGUGCCCCCCAUCCCCGCCAAAAAGAUAAGUUGGAGUCCUAACCCCCAGUACCUGGGGAUGUGACCGUAGUUGGAAAUAGGGUGUUUGUAGAUGUAAUCAAAUUAAGAUGAGAUCUUACUGGAUUAGAGUGGGCCUUAAAUCCAGUGACUGGUGUCCUUAUAAGGAGAAAAAGAUUUGAAAACAGAGACGUGGAGACACAGAUCAGAAGGCCAUGUGAUGAUGGAGUCAGAGAUUGGAGUGAUGCAGCUACGAGCCGAGAAAUACCAAGGUGCUGGCAGCCCCCAGAAACAAGGAGAGAGGCAAGGAACAAUCUCCAUCAGAGCCUCUGGAAGAAACAGACUCUGCCAACACCUUGAUUUCAGACUUUUGGCCUCCUUCACUGUGCGAGAAUACGUUUCUGUUGUUUUAAACUACUGAGUCACCAAGUCUGUGGUACUGUGUUAUGGCAGCCCCAGCAACAAAUCCAAUCAGACACACACACACACACACACACGGCUGGCUCCAAGCUCAGUGAUGAGCUCAGAGGAGUUCCCCUUGGGAGCUGCUCUUUCUCUGUCUUCCUUCCUUAGUGAUUGGUCCAGUGGAUCCACAAAAGCUCAUGGCCCAGAGCAGGAGCUCAGUCAUUUUUAAUUCCUCUUCCCUGGAGUUCUUAACCAUGCAUUGCCCUCAAAAUCUGCUCUCAAGAUUUGGGUUGCCAUAUUUAGGAGCACCAGAAAACGUACAGGAAUGCUGUGUCUGCUUGCAUCAUAUUAAUUAAAAACUGGAAAUAACCUAAAUGUCCCAGAAUAGGUACAUAAACUGUGGCAUAUCCACUUAAUGGAAUACUACUCAGCAAUACAAAAGGAAAACCUAGUGUUACUUGAGCAACAUGGAUGAACUUCACAGACAUAAUAUUGCACAGCACGAGGCAGACACAAAAGUGUGCAUAUGCUAUGAUUCCAUUUACAUGAGAUUCAAGAACAGGCAAAGCAGAUCUAUGGGGAUAGAAGUCAGAAUAGUGGUUACCUCUGGAAGGUGGAAUUGACUGGGAGGGGCUUCAGGGAACCUCCUGGGGUGCUGAAAACAUUCUGUGCUUGCACCAGGUGGUGGUUAUGUGGGCAUUACAUAAAAUUCACCAAGCUGCACCCUUACGAUUUGUACAAUUUGAUGCACAAAUCUAACAUCUCAAUAAGAAAUAAAUUUUACAAAGUACCUAAGAAGCAAAUGACCAGAAGCCACCAUACUGUUUUCUGGGGGCAUUUAUAGCUAGAGUCUGGGCCCUCUAGGCCCUCUGUCCCAGGGACAGAAAGGCUUGGUCCCUGGGACAGCCAUGUGUGGUAUCAUCGUUCAGUGCAUGUGGGAGGGAAUUCCACUCUUCAGCUGUGACAGGGCUGGACACACACACACAUGUAUACCUCUUGGCAGCUUCCCAUCCUCAUUGACAGUUGCAGGUUUGAGAGGAUAUAUCCCCCAGGUACCCUGAAGCCAGUCUCUGAAGCUGUCGAGGGUCCCCCA